GUAUCAGUUUCAGAAGCACAAAGUGACUCACAGCGGUGUGAAUCCUUACGUUUGUAAGCAGUGCGGGAAAGGCUUUACUUACUCCAGUUCCCUAAAAACGCAUGAAAGAACCCACACUGGUCAGAAGCCCUACGUGUGUAAGCACUGUGGGAAAACCUUCGGUAGUUCCGGCAACCUUAAAAGACACGGAAGCACUCACACUGGCGAGAGACUGUAUGUGUGCAAGCAGUGUGGGAAGUCGUUCAAUAAUCACAGCUCCUUUCAGUUCCACAAUCGGAUGCACACCGGAGAGAACCCCUACAAGUGUAAGCAGUGUGGGAAGGAUUUAGCUUCUUCCUCCUCCCUGCAGAACCACGAAAGGAAUCACUCUGGAGAGAAGCCCUAUGCGUGUUUGCAGUGCGGGAAAGCCUUCAGUUCCGACAGCUCCCUUCGGAAGCAUAAAAUAAUGCACAGUGAAGAAAAACCCUACGUAUGCAAGCACUGUGGGAAGUCUUUCCGCCGCUUUUUUGAGGUCCGGGUACACGAACGAAUCCACAGUAGCGAGAGACCCUAUGAGUGCGAGACGUGCGGGAGAGGCUUUUUGAGUUCAACUCAUCUGCGAAGGCAUGUACCGAUUCACAGUAGACCAAAUAAGGGAAUUAGUAAGUAACAUGGUAGCUCUCACGAAGUCCCCACGUGCUAGCAAUGUGGGGAAAUGUCAGACAGAUUCGAGAGAAGGUAUUCUUUUGAAUUGGUGUAGCUGUUACUACUAGAAAUGCUCUUCUAAUACACAGAAGCAGACACUGGAGAAAAGCUGCAAGACACACUUCAGAGUUCUUCUCAUUGUGGAGAAGAUGUGAAAUAGCUCACAUUGGAGAGAAACCUUACGCACGCCAUGUGAAAAGCCUUUAGUAAUGAGGGGACCCUCAAGAGACAUUGCCCUCAUUUGGACAGACGUCCUUUAUAUAUAUAAUGUGGUGAUCUGAAUAAGAAUGUUCCAGACCUGCUUAUAGAUGCCAAUGUUUAAUUACCAGGGAGUGGAAUUGUUUGAAAGGCUUAUGAGAGUUAGAAGGUCCGACCCUUUUUGUCUGUGAGCUUUCUGGAGGUUUGACACCGUGGGGUGGACUGUGAGGUUUCUAAAGGCCAUGCCAGGUCAGUCCCUCAUUCUCUCUGUGCUUGUGGAUCAGGAUGUAGCUCCCAGACAUGAUGCUAAUGGUCUGAGUCUCUGAAACUGUAAGCAAGCUCACAUUAAAUGCUUUGUCUUCUGAG
rnacentral:lncRNA from 1 species